rnacentral:tRNA from 1 species
UAGCAAAGAGCAUGGAAAAUGCAUCUGAUUUCGGCUCAGGGGAUACGAUUUUCGUUUUGUUUUCC